rnacentral:rRNA from 1 species
UGGGGAAUAUUGGACAAUGGGCGAAAGCCUGAUCCAGCAAUACCGCGUGUGUGAAGAAGGCCCUAGGGUUGUAAAGCACUUUCAAUUGGGAGGAAAACCUACCGGUCAAUACCCGGUAGCUUGACAUUACCUUUAGAAGAAGCACCGGCUAACUCCGUGCCAGCAGCCGCGGUAAUACGGAGGGUGCGAGCGUUAAUCGGAAUUACUGGGCGUAAAGGGUGCGUAGGUGGUUAAUUAAGUUAGAUGUAAAAGCCCUGGGCUUAACCUGGGAUUGAGAUUUAAUACUGGUUAACUGGAGUAUUGGAGAGGGUAGUGGAAUUUCCGGUGUAGCGGUGAAAUGCGUAGAGAUCGGAAGGAACACCAGUGGCGAAGGCGGCUACCUGGACCGAUAUUGACGCUGAGACGCGAAAGCGUGGGUAGCAAACAGG